AGUGAACGCUGGCGGUAGGCCUAACACAUGCAAGUCGAACGGCAGCACAGUAAGAGCUUGCUCUUACGGGUGGCGAGUGGCGGACGGGUGCGGAAUACAUCGGAAUCUACUUUUUCGUGGGGGCGAACGUAGGGAAACUUACGCUAAUACCGCAUACGACCUACGGGUGAAAGCAGGGGAUCUUCGGCCCUUGCGCGAUUGAAUGAGCCGAUGUCGGAUUAGCUAGUUGGCGGGGUAAAGGCCCACCAAGGCGACGAUCCGUAGCUGGUCUGAGAGGAUGAUCAGCCACACUGGAACUGAGACACGGUCCAGACUCCUACGGGAGGCAGCAGUGGGGAAUAUUGGACAAUGGGCGCAAGCCUGAUCCAGCCAUACCGCGUGGGUGAAGAAGGCCUUCGGGUUGUAAAGCCCUUUUGUUGGGAAAGAAAAGCAGCAGGUUAAUACCCCGCUGUUCUGACGGUACCCAAAGAAUAAGCACCGGCUAACUUCGUG
rnacentral:rRNA from 1 species